rnacentral:rRNA from 1 species
CCUACGGGAGGCAGCAGUGAGGAAUAUUGGUCAAUGGGCGGAAGCCUGAACCAGCCAAGUAGCGUGCAGGAUGACGGCCCUACGGGUUGUAAACUGCUUUUAUACGGGAAUAACGCGCCUUACGUGUAGGGCUUUGCAUGUACCGUAUGAAUAAGGACCGGCUAAUUCCGUGCCAGCAGCCGCGGUAAUACGGAAGGUCCGGGCGUUAUCCGGAUUUAUUGGGUUUAAAGGGAGCGUAGGCCGCAUGUCAAGCGUGAUGUGAAAUGUCCGGGCUCAACCCGGGGACUGCAGCGCGAACUGGCAUGCUUGAGUGCGGGAGAGGUAGGCGGAAGUCGUGGUGUAGCGGUGAAAUGCUUAGAUAUGACGAAGAACCCCGAUUGCGAAGGCAGCUUGCUGGAGCGGAACUGACGCUGAUGCUCGAAAGCGCGGGUAUCGAACAGGAUUAGAUACCCCUGUAGUC